rnacentral:rRNA from 1 species
UACCAUGCAGUCGAGCGGAGAUGAGGUGCUUGCACCUUAUCUUAGCGGCGGACGGGUGAGUAAUGCUUAGGAAUCUGCCUAUUAGUGGGGGACAACAUUCCGAAAGGAAUGCUAAUACCGCAUACGUCCUACGGGAGAAAGCAGGGGAUCUUCGGACCUUGCGCUAAUAGAUGAGCCUAAGUCGGAUUAGCUAGUUGGUGGGGUAAAGGCCUACCAAGGCGACGAUCUGUAGCGGGUCUGAGAGGAUGAUCCGCCACACUGGGACUGAGACACGGCCCAGACUCCUACGGGAGGCAGCAGUGGGGAAUAUUGGACAAUGGGGGGAACCCUGAUCCAGCCAUGCCGCGUGUGUGAAGAAGGCCUUAUGGUUGUAAAGCACUUUAAGCGAGGAGGAGGCUACUGAGACUAAUACUCUUGGAUAGUGGACGUUACUCGCAGAAUAAGCACCGGCUAACUCUGUGCCAGCAGCCGCGGUAAUACAGAGGGUGCGAGCGUUAAUCGGAUUUACUGGGCGUAAAGCGUGCGUAGGCGGCUUUUUAAGUCGGAUGUGAAAUCCCCGAGCUUAACUUGGGAAUUGCAUUCGAUACUGGGAAGCUAGAGUAUGGGAGAGGAUGGUAGAAUUCCAGGUGUAGCGGUGAAAUGCGUAGAGAUCUGGAGGAAUACCGAUGGCGAAGGCAGCCAUCUGGCCUAAUACUGACGCUGAGGUACGAAAGCAUGGGGAGCAAACAGGAUUAGAUACCCUGGUAGUCCAUGCCGUAAACGAUGUCUACUAGCCGUUG